rnacentral:rRNA from 1 species
CCUACGGGAGGCAGCAGUGGGGAAUAUUGCACAAUGGGGGAAACCCUGAUGCAGCGACGCCGCGUGAGUGAAGCAGUAUUUCGGUAUGUAAAGCUCUAUCAGCAGGGAAGAAAAUGACGGUACCUGAUUAAGAAGCCCCGGCUAACUACGUGCCAGCAGCCGCGGGAAUACGUAGGGGGCAAGCGUUAUCCGGAUUUACUGGGUGUAAAGGGAGCGUAGACGGCAGCGCAAGUCUGAAGUGAAAUGCCGGGGCUUAACCCCGGAACUGCUUUGGAAACUGUGCAGCUAGAGUGCAGGAGAGGUAAGUGGAAUUCCUAGUGUAGCGGUGAAAUGCGUAGAUAUUAGGAGGAACACCAGUGGCGAAGGCGGCUUACUGGACUGUAACUGACGUUGAGGCUCGAAAGCGUGGGGAGCAAACAGGAUUAGAUACCCGUGUAGUC